rnacentral:rRNA from 1 species
UUUUUUUUUCCCGCCCAAGCAAAACCACGGCACUAUAUUCAAAAAGGGUUUUGGACCCUCGGGAUACAAGGGUAGGGGAGACACACGCUGGAAACUUUUAGGCAAAGCCGGAUGAAGCGGGAGGGGAAAAGGAAACCCCCAACAAGGGGUUAUACCUUCAAGUAAACGGGCGAAGGGGAAGCCGGCAAUCAAACUUCAAAAUUUUGAAAUUUUUCCCCCCUCAGGGUUCCGGAGUUUGAAGAUUUUUUUGAAGGGGAAGUUUCGGGGGGGCGGCGNCCCGCCCUAAGUUGCUUGGGCACAGAGCGUCAUAGGAGAGGUGAGAAUUCCCNGUAUGUGGCCGGCGGNCCAAGGCCAUGUGAAAGCCCCCUUCGACGAGUCGAAUUNUUUGGGAAAUCAAGCUCCAAAACCGGUGGUAAAUUCCAUCUAAAAGCUAAAUCCCGGCCAGGAGACCGAUAGCGCACAAGUAGAGUGAUCCNAAAGAUGAAAAAGCGCUUUGCAAAGAGAGUUAAAACAGUACGUGAAAUUGUUGAGAGGGAAAGCGCUUGCGGCCAGACUUGCCCGGGGGGCGAUCAGCCCUCCCUUCGGGGUGGUGCACUCGCCCACGGUCAGGCCAGCAUCGGUUUUGGCGGCCGGACAAAGGCUUCCCC